rnacentral:rRNA from 1 species
UGAGGAAUAUUGGUCAAUGGGCGUUAGCCUGAACCAGCCAAGUAGCGUGAAGGAUGAAGGCUCUAUGGGUCGUAAACUUCUUUUAUAUAAGAAUAAAGUGCAGUAUGUAUACUGUUUUGUAUGUAUUAUAUGAAUAAGGAUCGGCUAACUCCGUGCCAGCAGCCGCGGUAAUACGGAGGAUCCGAGCGUUAUCCGGAUUUAUUGGGUUUAAAGGGAGCGUAGGUGGACUGGUAAGUCAGUUGUGAAAGUUUGCGGCUCAACCGUAAAAUUGCAGUUGAUACUGUCAGUCUUGAGUACAGUAGAGGUGGGCGGAAUUCGUGGUGUAGCGGUGAAAUGCUUAGAUAUCACGAAGAACUCCGAUUGCGAAGGCAGCUCACUGGACUGCAACUGACACUGAUGCUCGAAAGUGUGGGUAUCAAACAGGAUUAGAUACC